GCUGUUCUGAAAAGUUGAUUCUUAAAAAUGUUAUGUUGUUUUUAGGCAUUUCCCCAAAUACUCGCUAAUUACGGAGAGAGAGAACACACUCAGAAGGACAGAUCAUGCUCUGAUUAUUUCACUGCAUUGUCCAUUGCGGAUGUGUCUUGUCGCCUGCCCUGCCAGAGGAAAAAUCUACGCGUGGGCACAGUGGGGUCAGGGCGGUGCCGGGCACGGUGGGACGACAGGAGGCGUCCAGUCCCAGAGAGGGAACUGGCCUUUCCAGACUGACCCUCAGGAACAACUGGACAGCAAGAGAGAAGAUGAUUCAUAAUAAGGAGCUAAGUUAUUUGUCGAGUGAGUUUAAAGGAGCAGGAUGUGAAUGAGGGUUCAGGUAAUCCAGGAUGGCUUUGUGGAGGAGGCACCUGAGCCAGAGCUUACUAGGUCUCAUAAAAAUAAGAAGCAAAAUACAAUUAAAAAGAAGCAAACUAAAAUAAAAGGAACAAAGAGUUACAGUAACAGCAACUGCUCACACCCCUUGGGCUCUCCCAGGUGCUGGCAGUCCGGAAGACAAGUGUAUCAUGUGCGCCCUCUCGAAGUCUCACUAGUGUCCCCACUGGCCAACCUCAGCCAGGGCCCAGAGCACAGUGGGAUCUGCUCCCCGGAAGACAGGAAGGAGAAAAAAGACGGAAGGGUGACCUGGAGAGCCGGACCGCAGGUGGGCUAGAGCAUGACGCGAGCGGAAUCCUAGAGGGAGAGACGGUUAGCAGGUGGACUGUGAGGGGAACCCUGACCGGCGCUCCACCACCCCCAGCUUGUGAAGAGCUGAGGGGGCAGAUAGAUGACUUUUACCGUUAGACUAUGCUGGCCUCUCACUUAACUUCUCUUUCUUCAUUUGCUGUAACAUCGUGUUCCCUGACACGUGGUCCUCAGACACCCCCCAGGAGCCACCAUUAGACAUGCAGAGCCUCCCUGACUCGGAACCUGUGUGGCAGCCAGACCCCCAGCAUACCGGAACCAGCAUUUUUAUUUCUUAAACCUGCAAGAGUGAAGCUCAACAGAAAAAUGGCAAUACUGAUAACCCCGUGAACUUGACGAUCUUCUGGCCAACAGGUGGCCCUGAGAGCACAUACGCUUGGCUUCGGAUGUGGCUUCAGACUUAUGGAAGAGGAGCACAAAAAUUCUCAAGAUCCCUCCACCUAGGUUCCCCACAUGUGAGUGAAUCUUUACCUUGCUUGCUGGACCCGCCCUCCACGCCACACAGAGACACACGCACAGAAAACCGCAGACAAGAUCCGCCUCCACCACUGAACACUACCCUGUAUGCUUCUUGAACAAGGGGUUCUCCUCCGUAACAGCAGCACAACUGUCAGGAUCUGGGAGCCAGGAACCUGGGCCGCGGCCUUUGGCCACCAAGUAUCUGUAAAGACCUGUGAGGUUCCAGGCCCUGGGCCAUGUGCUGAAGACACGGUGGUAAGCAAGACGGACAGAGUUCAUGUCCUCAGGGGAGUCUCCGUCUCGUAGGAAAGAGAUGAUUUAUAUAUGCUUCAGCAACGAAGAUUUAAGGUGCCAGAGUCACCCCUUCCUUGUCUGCUUUCUCGUGGUUGAGAAAUAUUUAGCAAAUUUUAAAUACAUGUCUGUAGAGCUGAAGCUGCAGA